rnacentral:lncRNA from 1 species
CUGAUUCCAAAUCUGGGGCAGAAAAUUACAAGGUGAGCCUGGGUGGUGUUGCCUAAUAGAAAGCAAGGAAACCAUGGUGGAUGGUCGGGCUGUGUCAGAAGGACUCAGAGCCACCCUGCGGAGGACCCCACUGGUCAAAGGUGGAACAAUCUCCUCCUGCUCCACGUGUUCAAAACCAGCCUGAGCAUCCCGCAGCCCCGUCUGACUUCUUCUCCGAGUGGAUGAUGCUGCUGUUCGGCCCGGUCACCGAGAGGAACGUGCUCUUCCUCUCCCUCCUGUUGCAGCGUCUGAGCUUCAGGCACCUCUCACCUCUUACCUGGGCUCCUGGAGGAGCUUCUGUUUGGUCUGCCCAACUCCCGCGUUGCCCCUUCAAAUGCCCCCUCCACUCCGCAGCCACCAUGACCCUCGCUGACCCCCCGCUCUGCUGACGGCAGGUGCCCCCAAGUGUGUUUCCAAGAAGAUGCAAUCAGUGUGCUGUAUUCAGUGUUAUAUGAACACAAAGGUUUUCAUGGUCAUGAAGUUGGAGAAAAGAGGGAAAAUUAGUUAGGUUUAAUUACUUUCCAGAGUCUUCGACAUGCUAAAACACAUUUUGGAGCUCCAACUGGGGGGUGCUUAAUAAAACCUUUGG